AGUGAACGCUGGCGGUAGGCCUAACACAUGCAAGUCGAACGGCAGCACAGUAAGAGCUUGCUCUUACGGGUGGCGAGUGGCGGACGGGUGAGGAAUACAUCGGAAUCUACUUUUUCGUGGGGGAUACGUAGGGAAACUUACGCUAAUACCGCAUACGACCUACGGGUGAAAGCCAGGGGUCUUCGGACCUUGCGCGGAUGAAUGAGCCGAUGUCGGAUUAGCUAGUUGGCGGGGUAAAGGCCCACCAAGGCGACGAUCCGUAGCUGGUCUGAGAGGAUGAUCAGCCACACUGGAACUGAGACACGGUCCAGACUCCUACGGGAGGCAGCAGUGGGGAAUAUUGGACAAUGGGCGCAAGCCUGAUCCAGCCAUACCGCGUGGGUGAAGAAGGCCUUCGGGUUGUAAAGCCCUUUUGUUGGGAAAGAAAAGCAGCAGGUUAAUACCCCGCUGUUCUGACGGUACCCAAAGAAUAAGCACCGGCUAACUUCGUG
rnacentral:rRNA from 1 species